GCCAGAGUGGCCAGACCGUAAAUUUGUCCCGCGCAGCCUAAUCAAUCUCUCAACCCGUCCUCUGAUUUUUACGUGAACCUCGUAAAAACGAGAAGUUUAAAAUGCAAUUUCUUUCUUUACGGUGUGCUGAAGGAAAGCCAAUAAAUUUAAAAAUGGCUGACAACUGAGGUGAAGGCGGGGGGCGAUGGCGCGAUCUUCAGGGUGCCAUCAUGCCUGAUGAGCGCCGCGCAACCCGCAACACAGCAAUGCAGUUGUUUUAUGAGCUGAAGCAGAAGUUUCCCUGUGUGCCAGAUCCGAUGGUCUCCGAGUGCAUACGCCAGAACAACAGCGACCCGGCCAAGUGCGAGGCCCUGCUGCGUGCGAGCUGCGCCCGCAAGGGCUCGGCGACGCCCGGCGAUGGCGAGGAUGUGUCCAGCCUACGGACGAGGCUGCGUCCCACGUUCCUCCCCGCCCGUCCCCUCCACUCGAGCCCCGAGCUGCGUCCUCCCUUCCAGGGGGGGCCGCUGCAGGAGCCGCACCGCUUCAGUCGGCGUGCCUCCGACUUCUCGCAGACCACGGCCGCCCCAGUCGCGUCUCGAUGCGAGUCGCGUGACCCCACGCCGCCCCCGCGGCCCCCGCUGCCUACGAGCAUGGUGCAAGAUCCGCUCAUGUGUGCCAGCUGCUUUCGACCUGACCACCUUUUCCUCCAGGACUACGAGCACGAGGUGAGCGUGAACUGCAGCGCGCAGGGGGUGCAGGUGACGUCGUCGUGCGGCAGCCCUGUGGGCUCGCCGCUGUUCAAGGCGCCGGUGCGGCAUACGGCGUCGCUGCAGGUGCACCCGACGCCGCACUUUUUGGCGCGGCCGGCGUCGCUAACGUCAGUGUGUUCGUCGCCGGCCAGCGAGCCCCGCUCGUACACCUCGGUGAACCUGACCCUACGGCCGCCGUCGGCCGAGCCGCAGACGCCGAUCGACAUUCGGUCGACGUCGCGGCUCACCUACUCGACCUCCUCGUACAGCCCGCACCAGGGCUUCCAGUCGCAGCUGCACAUCCAAAUCGGCCCUGGUGGCGGCUCGGUGGCCGCCAUGCGCACCGCCAGCCAGCCACCCAUGUCCAGCCCGUCGCCGCCGCCCCUCUCGCUCUGCAGACAGGUGCUUGUUCGCACCGUCUCCAUGCCGGACGUCUCCAAACCUGCCGAACGUACCUGGCUCGACCCCAACCUGCCGCUCGCUCUGAGGAACCAAAUGGAGCGAAAAGCACGGCUCGAGGCCGAAUUGCAGAGUGAAAAGAAGAAGUUGGAGCAACUCAAACGAGAUGUCCAGGCCAUGGAGAGAGACUUGGAGCUGAGGAGGUCCUCGCGACAAACCAUACUGCAUUCCUCGGCGACUGCUACGGCACUCCGAGUUCAGCAGCUGAAAGCGGAGGUGGACUGGCUGCAAACGGAGUGCAGCAGAAUGACUCAAGAAGUUGAUUUACACAACACGACUGUGCCACUGGGUGAGACUGAUGAAGAAUUUUACCAAAAUAUAAGUCCAGAGCACAGGACUACAACUAUAACGGAAAAUCAACAGUUUCAGAGUUCAUGGCGGUUGAGGAACGAAAUUCGCGGUGCGACGCCGCGGACAGGCGGGCCUGAGGUAGAGGACGAAGACGGUCCGCACUGGACGUGUUCGGUGUGCACAUUCCGCAACCACCCCGCCCUGAGGAAGUGCGAGCAGUGCGAGAUGCCGCGCAUCUCCCUAGGUACCGCCCCCAGGCCGCUGCCUCCGUGUCCCCCCGGCUGCUACUGCCACCCCCGCCGCAUGCCGCCUUCGCCGCCUCCUGCGGGACCACCCCCGGAGCAACCAACCACCUCCCCCUCCUCCCCCUCCAUUUGAGACAGCGAGAGAAACUAACCUGUUUGCUCAAAAUAAUAUUAUCGUUUUCUCUCGAAUGCAACUAAUAUUUUAAAAACAAACUGUGUGUUUUCCCCUGGCGACGAAAACUACUCUCGAGUGUGGCUGAUUAACUCUCUGUGUUUAAUCAAAGCAGAUGUAACCGAGUCAGAAACGCAAGACAUUCAUAUCAGAGUCACUCACAGUAACUUCCCAUCAAGACGAGUUGUUCACAGCUGGGUUGUGUGACCAUCUACUCGUCUGACGCAGGUUCUUCAGCGAAACAAACUCGUGUGUCCAAGAGAGUGCAUACACAUUUAGAGCAGAGAUUUAUUCAACGUGCGUUUGAAGGAAACAUCACUACAUACAGCUGUGAUCCCUCAAAUGAAGUACUUAACAUGCUUGGUGUAAAGAUACAUUUUGAGUGCCUUUUAAGCUGCUCCUGGAAAAGCACGGCGUGCUUUGCGGUUGCCACUGUAUUUCCGUAGUGCUUCCUUUGUGUCACAAAUCUCAAGUACAUAUUACAUUAAUAUGCCUGACGAUCAGCCAGCAGACAAUAAACAGUCGGGACUCCACGAUGAAAAAAAUAUUUUAAUGUAAUUCCAUUGGUGAAAUGGAUUAGAACAGAGGAAUGUACAAAUAUUUAUAAUAAUAUGUACGUGUUUAAAUGCAAUACUGGAAUUAGACUGGCAGAGGCAGCAAAAAACUUAAUUGAUUUUUACCACUGAACUGAACUUAAUUCGAAUGAAAAUAUUUGUCAAACUGAACUCAUUCAUCGAAUAAAUGCGUUUUUACUGAUUAAGUCUCGGAUGGAUGGACUAUUUUAUUUUGUGUGUUUGUGCGCACUGUAUCUUGUAUGGCUAAUUUAUUACACUGUAAACACAAACACACAAAUGAUUGUAUUAAUACUGCAGUUAUGAUACGUAUAAUUAUGCUCCACGCCGAUGGAAUCAUUCUCAGGUGCUGGACUUUUAAUUUGCUCUGUGAUUCCUUUUUAGCAUCUUAUUUGUUGAAAGAAUAAAAAAAAAUGAAAUCUGUGGAAAAUCAUCCGUAAA